rnacentral:rRNA from 1 species
AGAAUCAACGCUGGCGGCGUGCCUAACACAUGCAAGUCGAACGAGAAAGUGGAGCAAUCCAUGAGUAAAGUGGCGACCGGGUGAGUAACACGUGACUACCUACCCUUGAGUGGGGGAUAACCUCGGGAAACCGAGGCUAAUACCGCAUAAUAUCGAAAGAUCAAAGGAGUAAUCCGCUUUUGGGAGGGGGUCGCGGCUGAUUAGCUAGUUGGUAGGGUAAUGGCCUACCAAGGCGAAGAUCGGUA